rnacentral:rRNA from 1 species
GUGGGGAAUAUUGGACAAUGGGCGAAAGCCUGAUCCAGCCAUGCCGCGUGUGUGAAGAAGGUCUUCGGAUUGUAAAGCACUUUAAGUUGGGAGGAAGGGUAGUAACCUAAUACGUUGCUACUUUGACGUUACCGACAGAAUAAGCACCGGCUAACUUCGUGCCAGCAGCCGCGGUAAUACGAAGGGUGCAAGCGUUAAUCGGAAUUACUGGGCGUAAAGCGCGCGUAGGUGGUUUUGUAAGUUGGAGGUGAAAUCCCCGGGCUCAACCUGGGAACUGCUUCCAAAACUGCAUGACUAGAGUACGGUAGAGGGUAGUGGAAUUUCCUGUGUAGCGGUGAAAUGCGUAGAUAUAGGAAGGAACACCAGUGGCGAAGGCGACUACCUGGACUGAUACUGACACUGAGGUGCGAAAGCGUGGGGAGCAAACAGGAUUAGAUACCCCGGUAGUCC